GCGAAACUGCGAAUGGCUCAUUAUAUAAGUUAUCGUUUAUUUGAUAGUACCUUACUACUUGGAUAACCGUGGUAAUUCUAGAGCUAAUACAUGCUAAAAAUCCCGACUUCGGAAGGGAUGUAUUUAUUAGAUUAAAAACCAAUGCCCUCUGGGCUCUCUGGUGAUUCAUGAUAACUUCGCGAAUCGCAUGGCCUUGCGCCGGCGAUGGCUCAUUCAAAUUUCUUCCCUAUCAACUUUCGAUGUUUGGGUAUUGGCCAAACAUGGUUGCAACGGGUAACGGAGGGUUAGGGCUCGACCCCGGAGAAGGAGCCUGAGAAACGGCUACUACAUCCAAGGAAGGCAGCAGGCGCGCAAAUUACCCAAUCCCGACACGGGGAGGUAGUGACAAUAAAUACUGAUACAGGGCUCUUUUGGGUCUUGUAAUUGGAAUGAGUACAAUUUAAAUCCCUUAACGAGGAACAAUUGGAGGGCAAGUCUGGUGCCAGCAGCCGCGGUAAUUCCAGCUCCAAUAGCGUAUAUUAAAGUUGUUGUGGUUAAAAAGCUCGUAGUUGAACCUUGGGCCUGGCUGGCCGGUCCGCCUCACCGCGUGUACUGGUCCGGCCGGGCCUUUCCCUCUGUGGAACCUCAUGCCCUUCACUGGGUGUGGCGGGGAAACAGGACUUUUACUUUGAAAAAAUUAGAGUGCUCAAGGCAGGCCUAUGCUCGAAUACAUUAGCAUGGAAUAAUAGAAUAGGACGUGUGGUUCUAUUUUGUUGGUUUCUAGGACCGCCGUAAUGAUUAAUAGGGACAGUCGGGGGCAUCAGUAUUCAAUUGUCAGAGGUGAAAUUCUUGGAUUUAUUGAAGACUAACUACUGCGAAAGCAUUUGCCAAGGAUGUUUUCAUUAAUCAGGAACGAAAGUUAGGGGAUCGAAGACGAUCAGAUACCGUCGUAGUCUUAACCAUAAACUAUGCCGACUAGGGAUCGGACGAUGUUAUUUUUUGACUCGUUCGGCACCUUACGAGAAAUCAAAGUGC
rnacentral:rRNA from 1 species